rnacentral:rRNA from 1 species
CCUACGGGUGGCAGCAGUCGAGAAUCUUUCACAAUGGGGGAAACCCUGAUGGUGCGACGCCGCGUGGGGGAAUGAAGGUCUUCGGAUUGUAAACCUCUGUUAUGUGGGAGCAAAUUAAAAAGAUAGUACCACAAGAGGAAUAGACGGCUAACUCUGUUCCAGAAGCCGCGGUAAUACAGAGGUCUUAAGCGUUGUUCGGAAUCACUUGGCGUAAAGCGUGGGUAGGCUGUUUCGUAAGUCGUGUGUGAAAGGCGCGGGCUCAACCCGCGGACGGCAGAUGAUACUGGGAGACUAGAGUAAUGGAGGGGGAAGCGGAAUUCGCGGUGUAGCAGUGAAAUGCGUAGAUAUCGAGAAGAACACUCAUGGCGAAGGCAGGUUCCUGGACAUUAACUGACGCUGAGGCACGAAGGCCAGGGGAGCGAAAGGGAUUAGAUACCCUUGUAGUC